ACCGCUUACUACUGCCAACCCAUUAACAGUAUUGAAUAAUUUCAUAAAUUAUGAAAACUACCAUGCUAGAACUAGUAACAAGAAAAUGAAUUUCUCCAAAGUGUAAACAUAAACCAAAACGGACAACCCAUUGGUAAUUAACGACUCUGAACCCAUUAUAGCAAAACAUCUAGAAAACCCUAUACUUAAUACCGUUAACCUUACACAAGAACUCUUCUGGAAAGAUUAAAAGGAAGAGAAGGAACUCGGCAAAUUUUAACCCCGCCUGUUUACCAAAAACAUCGCCUCUUGCUUAGUUAUAAGAGGUCCCGCCUGCCCAGUGUUUCAAUCAACGGCCGCGUGAUCUAAACGCGCGAAGGUAGCAUAAUAAUUUGUUCUUUAAAUGAGGACUUGUAUCAAUGGCAUCACGAGGGUUAUACUGUCUCCUCUCCCCAAUCAGUGAAACUAAUCUCCCUGUGAAAAAGCAGGAAUAAGAACAUAAGACGAGAAGACCCCAUGGAGCUUAAAACAAGGCAGCAAUUCAAUAACAAAAUCAGAACAAUCUUAAGCCCUGUAUGCCAGUUUUAGGUUGGGGUGACCACGGAGCAAAGCAAAGCCUCCACAACGAGAAGGGAUUAUUCCCUUACCCAAGAGACACGCCUCUAAGAAUUAUUAAAAUAACGUCUAAUGAUCCGAUUAUCGACCAAUGGACCAAGUUACCCUGGGGAUAACAGCGCAAUCCACUCUGAGAGCUCCUAUCGACGAGUGGGCUUACGACCUCGAUGUUGGAUCAGGAUAUCCCAGUGGUGCAGCCGCUACUAAAGG
rnacentral:rRNA from 2 species